rnacentral:misc_RNA from 1 species
CCGCAUUAAAAUCAAAAGGCAUUAGAAUUAGUUUUACAUGCUACGGUACUUCACGGAGCUUAACAUCUCAGAAAGUAAUAAAUCAGUCUGAUUUCUUCUUUCUCUGCAGAUGGGGAGGAGGAUCAUCCGUUAUGCGAUAUUUCAAACGUGCGGACGUCGUCUCCAAUCGCAAGUGAUGCAGCCCGUCUCACGGAUGGGCUUGAAGCAGCUCGCCGAUCUAAAGACCCACAGCCGAGUAACACGCCUUCUGCCAGCGAGCGAGUUGUCGACCAAGCUGAAACUUCGGACGUCGGCGCAGAUAGAAAAACUCUGGCAAGCCUUCACUGGUCAGUAGACAACAAGCUGCCCGAGUUUUCGGCUUUCGUUCAGCCACUGCUCAAUGGAAUGGAAAUUACGGAAGAACAACACCGCAAACAGUCGAAACAACUUCGCCAUGAGGAGAUUCAUUUUCUCGAUGAAAACAAUGCAAUUCAGGACAAAAAUACUGCCCUACGUCGAUGGAAGUACUUUGCGUUAGGAGAGACACUCGCAAAUAUGUAUCCCAACAUGCUUUGGGAAAAAUCGCGGAAGGACGUAAGAGGACGUACAAAAGGACCAAAGGCUGUAUUUCUGUCGCGGCUUGCGGAGGCAAGACGGCACAGGGCACAACGACGAGAAGCAAGUGAAGCUUCCAAGAAGGCUCCACUCCAGGCCGCAGCUCUGUCCUUAGAGCCCCAGUUAAUCGACUCCGAAUCUGCGUCGAUAGAACUGGAAGUAUGUAUACUCAACAGGCUAUUCUAAAUUUGUGUGGGAGAGACGCUUUAAAUGCAAGUUCUUCUAAAUCUUAACCAAAGAAAAGUAAUCGCUAUUUUGAUGAGUGUAAUACAGAUUGUGAGUAAACGCCGGAGACAGCCAGCAUUUCCAACCCAAUAAGAGCGCAAGACUUAAUCAUUGAAAUAGAUGGUUUAUUGUGAUAUAUAUGCAGCUGAACACUGCGUAAUGCUUAAUGCAUACUGUAAUGGCUCUUUGCGAAUAGCGAACUAAGGACAGAAACCAAUAAUACGAAUUUAAAUCUGGACCUGGAUUUCGGUUGAGAAUUGUGAAAUAGCCGUGCCGUUCGAAAUAGAAGAGUCGG